ACGAAACAAAAAGUCUAAGGGACAGAGAGUAGAAACGAGAAAGCCCUGUUUUCAUUAUUUUGCAAGUGAUUCACCUCCGCCAUGGCCAGUCCACAGUUCCUGAGAGUCCCUCUUCUCCUGCUUCUCUUGAUUCUAUCAGAGGGGAGACCACUGGCAGUAGGUAAUGGAGUUGAAGAGAGAAGAAGGGAGUCGGUGGUAGGAGAAGAGCUUGUCCCUGUGAAUGUGCAUGUGGAUGGCUAUCCAGACCCUAUGGACAUAGCAGGGAUGGAUUACACACCGGCUGGGAAGAAGAAACCUAUCCAUAACUGAGUGCAUGGCUGCAAAGUAGUGUAAAUGUGCAUAGGUUCAAAGGUUAAGACUUAGGAGAUAGAAAGAGUGUUAUGCUAAGGCGUAAAGGUUUAGACUUGGGAGACAGAAAGAGUGUUAUGCUAAGAUGGUAGAAUACAAGUUUUAAGUCUCACACACACACACUUAUGAGAUAGAAAGAGUAAAUACAUACUUUGAUGAAUGUUGUUUAUGCUAAGUUAGUGGAAUAGAAGUUUUAAGAGCCUC